AAGUCGUAACAAGGUCUCCGUAGGUGAACCUGCGGAGGGAUCAUUACAAGAACGCCCGGGCUUCGGCCUGGUUAUUCAUAACCCUUUGUUGUCCGACUCUGUUGCCUCCGGGGCGACCCUGCCUUCGGGCGGGGGCUCCGGGUGGACACUUCAAACUCUUGCGUAACUUUGCAGUCUGAGUAAACUUAAUUAAUAAAUUAAAACUUUUAACAACGGAUCUCUUGGUUCUGGCAUCGAUGAAGAACGCAGCGAAAUGCGAUAAGUAAUGUGAAUUGCAGAAUUCAGUGAAUCAUCGAAUCUUUGAACGCACAUUGCGCCCCCUGGUAUUCCGGGGGGCAUGCCUGUUCGAGCGUCAUUUCACCACUCAAGCCUCGCUUGGUAUUGGGCAACGCGGUCCGCCGCGUGCCUCAAAUCGUCCGGCUGGGUCUUCUGUCCCCUAAGCGUUGUGGAAACUAUUCGCUAAAGGGUGCUCGGGAGGCUACGCCGUAAAACAACCCCAUUUCUAAGGUUGACCUCGGAUCAGGUAGGGAUACCCGCUGAACUUAA
rnacentral:rRNA from 1 species